rnacentral:rRNA from 1 species
GACGAACGCUGGCGGCGUGCUUAACACAUGCAAGUCGAACGGAAAGGCCCUGCUUUUGUGGGGUGCUAGAGUGGCGCACGGGUGAGUAACACGUGAGUAACCUGACCUUGACUUUGGGAUAACUUCAGGAAACUGGGGCUAAUACAGAAUAGGAGCUCCUGAUGCAUGGUGGGGGUUGGAAAGUUUCGGCGGUUGGGGAUGGACUCGCGGCUUAUCAGCUUGUUGGUGGGGGAGUGGCUUACCAAGGCUUUGACGGGUAGUCGGCCUGAGCGGGUGACCGGCGACAUUGGGACUGAGAGACGGCCCAGACUCCUACGUUAGGCAGCGGUGGGGAAUAUUGCACAGUGGGCGGGAGCCUGAUGCAGCAGCGCCGCGUUCGUGAUGACGGCUUUCGGGUUGUGAACCGCUUUCGCCUGUGACGAAGCGUGAAUGACGGUAAUGGAUAAAGAAGCACCGGCUAACUACGUG